UGCCGGAUCGUCUAAUGGUAGGACGAACGCCUCUGAAGCGUUUAAUCUUGGUUCGAGUCCAAGUCCGGCAA
rnacentral:tRNA from 1 species